rnacentral:lncRNA from 1 species
AACAUUAGCUGAGUACACAACUUUAGAUCUUCAUCACUGUCGACGAUUAAAUGUCUCUGGUUUUGAUGUAAAAGAAGAGAAGGUUUUGACGUAAAAUAAGAAAAGAUGUGGGGGAUUUUAAGGCAAAAAGCCGGAGGAGUUACCGGAUUAUCCUCUCAGGGUUUGGAGAAUCAGAUGUUGAGGUUAAGGCAUGUAGCAUCAGCUAUGAGAAGUUUUGCAGUACUUUUCGAGUCUUGGCUUUCCUAAAGCCAUAUUCAUCACUGUCGACGAUGAAAUAUCUCCGUUUGUAACAUUGGUUGAGUACACAACUUUAUCUUCAUCACUAUCGACGAUGAAAUAUCUCCGUUUGUAACAUUGGCUGAGUAAACUUUAGAGGAUUUUGUACAUGCUAUUACUCUUCCUCUUGCAAUCGAGACUUCUUGUGAAGGUCUAGAAUGGGCUAGCUUUGGUGAGUGUAACAGGUAUCACCUAUAGGGAAUGGGCAACUGGAGCUUAGUCUGCUUCGCUUAUUGGAGAUUUCAAUAGCUGGAAUCCAAAUGCUGAUGUUAUGACCAAGAGUGAAAAAUGGAUCCUAUCGCAUUGACAUAUGGCUGCUGUAUUGGGCCGCCAGUUUCAGCUUCAUAGAAGGCCCAUGUCAGUUGGGGUUAUGCUUGUUUGCGGUCCACAGGUGGCAGUUGGCCUAGCAAUGGCUGAAACUAAGGUUCAAGGCCCAGCGCUGGUUUAAUUUGCAGAUUAAAGAU